rnacentral:rRNA from 1 species
AAGCCAGUCGAAGAUACCAGCUGGCUGCAACUGUUUAUUAAAAACACAGCACUGUGCAAACACGAAAGUGGACGUAUACGGUGUGACGCCUGCCCGGUGCUGGAAGGUUAAUUGAUGGGGUCAGCCGCAAGGCGAAGCUCCUGAUCGAAGCCCCAGUAAACGGCGGCCGUAACUAUAACGGUCCUAAGGUAGCGAAAUUCCUUGUCGGGUAAGUUCCGACCUGCACGAAUGGCGUAAUGAUGGCCAGGCUGUCUCCACCCGAGACUCAGUGAAAUUGAACUCGCUGUGAAGAUGCAGUGUACCCGCGGCAAGACGGAAAGACCCCGUGAACCUUUACUAUAGCUUGACACUGAACAUUGAGCCUUGAUGUGUAGGAUAGGUGGGAGGCUUUGAAGUGUGGACGCCAGUCUGCAUGGAGCCAACCUUGAAAUACCACCCUUUAACGUUUGAUGUUCUAACCUAGGCCCAUAAACUGGGUCGGGGACCGUGUCUGGUGGGUAGUUUGACUGGGGCGGUCUCCUCCUAAAGAGUAACGGAGGAGCACGAAGGUUGGCUAAGCAUGGUCGGACAUCAUGCGGUUAGUGCAAAGGCAUAAGCCAGCUUGACUGCGAGAGUGACGGCUCGAGCAGGUACGAAAGUAGGUCUUAGUGAUCCGGUGGUUCUGAAUGGAAGGGCCAUCGCUCAACGGAUAAAAGGUACUCCGGGGAUAACAGGCUGAUACCGCCCAAGAGUUCAUAUCGACGGCGGUGUUUGGCACCUCGAUGUCGGCUCAUCACAUCCUGGGGCUGAAGUAGGUCCCAAGGGUAUGGCUGUUCGCCAUUUAAAGUGGUACGCGAGCUGGGUUUAGAACGUCGUGAGACAGUUCGGUCCCUAUCUGCCGUGGGCGUUGGAAGAUUGAGAGGGGUUGCUCCUAGUACGAGAGGACCGGAGUGAACGCACCACUGGUGUUCGGGUUGUCAUGCCAAUGGCAUUGCCCGGUAGCUAAGUGCGGAAGAGAUAACCGCUGAAAGCAUCUAAGCGGGAAACUUGCCUCGAGAUGAGUCUUCCCUGUCGCUUUAAGCGACCUAAAGGAACGUUUAAGACUAAGACGUUGAUAGGCUGGGUGUGUAAGCGUAGCGAUACGUUGAGCUAACCAGUACUAAUGAACCGUGAGGCUUAACCUG